AUUGAACGCUGGCGGCAUGCCUUACACAUGCAAGUCGAACGGCAGCGGGGGAGAAGCUUGCUUUUCCUGCCGGCGAGUGGCGGACGGGUGAGUAAUACAUCGGAACGUGCCCUGUAGUGGGGGAUAACUAGUCGAAAGAUUAGCUAAUACCGCAUACGACCUGAGGGUGAAAGUGGGGGACCGCAAGGCCUCAUGCUAUAGGAGCGGCCGAUGUCUGAUUAGCUAGUUGGUGGGGUAAAGGCCUACCAAGGCGACGAUCAGUAGCUGGUCUGAGAGGACGAUCAGCCACACGGGGACUGAGACACGGCCCAGACUCCUACGGGAGGCAGCAGUGGGGAAUUUUGGACAAUGGGCGAAAGCCUGAUCCAGCAAGGCCGCGUGUGUGAAGAAGGCCUUAGGGUUGUAGAGCACUUUUGGCCGGAAAGAAAUGGCUUUGGUUAAUACCUGGGGUCGAUGACGGUACCGGAAGAAUAAGGACCGGCUAACUACGUGCCAGCCGCCGCAGUAA
rnacentral:rRNA from 1 species